UCACGUAAUGACGCAGUCUGAUGGAGCACGCCGCGUGAGUGAAGAAGGGUUUCGGCUCGUAAAGCUCUGUUGUUAAAGAAGAACGUGGGUGAGAGUAACUGUUCACCCAGUGACGGUAUUUAACCAGAAAGCCACGGCUAACUACGUGCCAGCAGCCGCGGUAAUACGUAGGUGGCAAGCGUUAUCCGGAUUUAUUGGGCGUAAAGCGAGCGCAGGCGGUCUUUUAAGUCUAAUGUGAAAGCCUUCGGCUCAACCGAAGAAGUGCAUUGGAAACUGGGAGACUUGAGUGCAGAAGAGGACAGUGGAACUCCAUGUGUAGCGGUGAAAUGCGUAGAUAUAUGGAAGAACACCAGUGGCGAAGGCGGCUGUCUGGUCUGUAACUGACGCUGAGGCUCGAAAGCAUGGGUAGCGAACAGGAUUAGAUACCCCCGGUAGUCAAA
rnacentral:rRNA from 1 species